rnacentral:misc_RNA from 1 species
GAACGCACAUUGCGCCCCUUGGUAUUCCAUGGGGCAUGCCUGUUCGAGCGUCAUUUGUAUCUUAAGCUUUGCUUAGUGUUGGGUGAUUGUCUGUAUGUAUUGCAGACUCGCCUUGAAUCUAUUGGCCGCCGAUAGUCUAGUAUGCGAGCGCAGCACAUUUGCGCACCGUACCCGUCUUAUUAGCCACCAUCAAGUACAAUAUCAACGUUUGACCUCGGAUCAGGUAGGGAUACCCGCUGAACUUAAG